AUUGAACGCUGGCGGCAUGCUUUACACAUGCAAGUCGAACGGUAACAGGCCGCAAGGUGCUGACGAGUGGCGAACGGGUGAGUAAUGCAUCGGAACGUGCCCAGUCGUGGGGGAUAACGCAGCGAAAGUUGCGCUAAUACCGCAUACGAUCUAUGGAUGAAAGCGGGGGACCGUAAGGCCUCGCGCGAUUGGAGCGGCCGAUGUCAGAUUAGGUAGUUGGUGGGGUAAAGGCUCACCAAGCCGACGAUCUGUAGCUGGUCUGAGAGGACGACCAGCAACACUGGGACUGAGACACGGCCCAGACUCCUACGGGAGGCAGCAGUGGGGAAUUUUGGACAAUGGGCGCAAGCCUGAUCCAGCAAUGCCGCGUGCAGGAAGAAGGCCUUCGGGUUGUAAACUGCUUUUGUACGGAACGAAACGGUCCUGGUUAAUACCUGGGGCUAAUGACGGUACCGUAAGAAUAAGCACCGGCUAACUACGUGCCAGCAGCCGCCGUAAGAC
rnacentral:rRNA from 1 species